CUGCAGGUGGCCCAGCAGCAGGCUGAGGAGCUGCGGCAGGAGCGGGAGAAGCUGCAGGCUGCCCAGGAGGAGCUGCGGCGCCAGCGGGACCGGCUGGAGGAAGAGCAGGAGGACGCAGUGCAGGAUGGCGCGCGGGUGCGCCGGGAGCUUGAGCGCAGCCAUAGACAACUAGAGCAGCUGGAAGGGAAGCGCUCAGUCCUGGCCAAGGAGCUGGUGGAGGUGAGGGAGGCGCUGAGCCACGCCACGCUGCAACGGGACAUGCUACAGGCUGAGAAGGCCGAGGUGUCCGAGGCGCUGACCAAGGCUGAGGCUGGCCGCGUGGAGCUCGAGCUCUCCAUGACCAAGCUGAGGGCAGAGGAGGCCUCCCUGCAGGACUCCCUGUCCAAGCUGAGCGCCCUCAACGAGAGCCUUGCUCAGGACAAGUUGGAUCUGAACCGCCUUGUCGCCCAGCUGGAGGCAGAAAAGGCUGCCCUGCAGGGCCGGCAGCGGCAGGCGGAGCAGGAGGCCACAGUGGCGCGGGAGGAGCAGGAGCGGCUGGAGGAGCUGCGGUUGGAGCAGGAGGUGGCGCGGCAGGGCCUGGAGGGCUCCCUACGAGUGGCGGAGCAGGCCCAGGAGGCGCUGGAGCAGCAGCUCCCCACGCUGCGCCAUGAGCGUAGCCGGCUGCAGGAGCAGCUAGCGCAGACGGCGUCUCGCUCUGUAGCUCAGGCUGGAUUGCAGUGGUGUA
rnacentral:sRNA from 1 species